rnacentral:rRNA from 1 species
GACGAACGCUGGCGGCGUGCUUAACACAUGCAAGUCGAACGGAAAGGCCCUGCUUUUGUGGGGUGCUCGAGUGGCGAACGGGUGAGUAACACGUGAGUAACCUGCCCUUGACUUUGGGAUAACUUCAGGAAACUGGGGCUAAUACCGGAUAGGAGCUCCUGCUGCAUGGUGGGGGUUGGAAAGUUUCGGCGGUUGGGGAUGGACUCGCGGCUUAUCAGCUUGUUGGUGGGGUAGUGGCUUACCAAGGCUUUGACGGGUAGCCGGCCUGGGAGGGUGACCGGCCCAAUGGGGCUAGGGAAACGGCCAGGCCUCCACAGGGAGCCAGCGGUGGGAAAUUUAGCCAAAUGGGCGGAGGCCUGAUGCAGAACCGCCGGGUGGGGAAUGACGGCUUUCGGGUUGUAAACGGUUUUAGCUGUGACGAAGCGUGAGUGACGGUAAUGGGUAAAGAAGCACCGGCUAACUACGUG